rnacentral:rRNA from 1 species
GUAAGGAAUAUUGGACAAUGGGCGAAAGCCUGAUCCAGCCAUGCCGCGUGUGUGAAGAAGGUCUUCGGAUUGUAAAGCACUUUAAGUUGGGAGGAAGGGUAGUAACCUAAUACGUUGCUACUUUGACGUUACCGACAGAAUAAGCACCGGCUAACUUCGUGCCAGCAGCCGCGGUAAUACGAAGGGUGCAAGCGUUAAUCGGAAUUACUGGGCGUAAAGCGCGCGUAGGUGGUUCAGUAAGUUGGAAGUGAAAUCCCCGGGCUCAACCUGGGAACUGCUUUCAAGACUGCUGAGCUAGAGUACGGUAGAGGGUGGUGGAAUUUCCUGUGUAGCGGUGAAAUGCGUAGAUAUAGGAAGGAACACCAGUGGCGAAGGCGACCACCUGGACUGAUACUGACACUGAGGUGCGAAAGCGUGGGGAGCAAACAGGAUUAGAAACCCGAGUAGUCC